rnacentral:lncRNA from 1 species
UUGGUUCCAAACACUUUUCUUGUUCAAAAGUCCGAAACUUAUACAAUGAUUGAUAAUGAAGAGACACACACACACCGGUGUUGUAUCAUGGAGUUAAAGGUGAAGAUCAAAGGAUAAGACAAAAUUAUAACUAUUUACUUCGUGGCCUUAUAGUCGAUCAAGAGGGAAAAAGUAAAUACAUUUGAAGAGCUAGUUCGGUGAAAAGAGUUUAGUCCUUUGAUCUUCAGGUAUAGAGUUUAAAUCUUUCAUAAACGAAUUGUAAAAUUAUCAUUAGUGUUACUUAAAUUAAUAAAAAUAUCACCUUUCCUGUUUUUUUAAAGAAAAGAAGAGGAAAAUGGUAUAUUAACAAGAAUAAUCUUUUGUCCAGAAAAUCUGAUUUGUAAUUCGUCCUUUUUUUAAUUUUCUUUUUAAUUAUGAAUGUAAUGGGCAAAAAGUUUGUUAGAGACACUUAGAAUUUGCUUUCUUGAGUUCUAGAAUCCGAACUAGGAUAAUGAACAAUAAACUGCUUUGAUUGUUCUUUACAGAAUGUUAUCCGUCGAAUUGGUUGCAUUGCUUGAGUCUAUGAAUAUCGUCCUUCAUUCUUACUUUUCAUCAUUCAUCCUCCUCUUCUCUCCUCUCUUCUCUCAACUAUCCCCUUUCUUGUCAAUUAUUUUCAAAAGUUACCGGGUAUAUGACUGCAUAGUCUAUCGUUGACCAAUCAUAUUAUUCUCAUAGUUGGCGUCCUUUUAUGAUAGUUUUGGAAUUUUAUGUAGGUCAACGAGGAACUGUUCAACCAUGAUGAUUGAGAAUGUUAUGUUGAUCAUAUUAAAGCUUACGAUACUUUGUAACACACAUGAGACUCUUGUACACUCUUCUCGUCGUGCUCAUGAGUGGACAAUUGAAGUUUUUCUCAACUUUACAACACCAAUUUAUAUGGUAGAAAUUAUCUCAGUUAUAAAUUUAUGUUCAGAUCACUUUUCCUUCAAUGUGAGAGUCUUAAUAUUGAUCAAUAGAUAGAUUUAGUGAAUUGAUCUCUUGUUUAAUUUAUUUAAUGCAUUUAGAGGUAAUGUUAAAAAAAAUAUAUAUAUAUUGGCCAUGAACCGAUUAUGAAUAUUUUUAAUUUGUAAGUUUGGAUUAGGUUUAAACAAAAAAUAUAAUAUUAUUGUGCAUCAUUAGGUGAAGACAUCAUCUCCCCUUGGGCAGCCACCGCCCACCAUACGUAAUGGUAAUACUAUAGUAAUUAGUUAGCACAAUUUUAAUGAAUAUCUUGUUGGAUGAAUGAGCCAAAUAUUUGACCAACUCCCUGGGCUUAAAAGUAAACAAGCUCAAAUCAAAGGAGCUUUGAGAACAAGGGGAGAAAUUACCCAUAGUUUAAUGCUUUUAUCAUCUUGCUAUAUUAUCAAUAUUGAAUUGGUUUAUUUAGUAAGAAAUUUAAGCUCUUUAAAUAAGUAGUUUGAUGUUUGAUUUCUGAUUGUUAUGCUAAAAACGAGUAAUUUUAUUUUGACAUAGACGAAAUGACAAACUCAUUAUAAACUCACGCAUAUAAGAGAGGGAGUUGGAGUUCGAACCUCGAUUAUGACAUCUGAC